AAAGAGAGGGAGAGAGAGGAUAGGGUAGAAGCGCCGGAGAACAUGGCACCGCCGCUGGAGCCCUAAGAAGCGCCGCCGCUGGAGGAUUGCCCGCUGGAAAACGCCGUGCUGCUGGAGUACCGCCUAUGGAGGAAGGAACGUCGUCGCUGCCGCUGGAGAGAAAGGGUGGCCGCCGCUACAUUCAAUUUCUGGGGGAGAGAACGGCAGGGAGAAACCGCAGGGAGAACGGCAGGGAGAAAGCCAUUCAAAUUCUGAUGUUUUUUUCUUUAAUUAGGUUUUCUAUUUUUGUUUUUU
rnacentral:lncRNA from 1 species